rnacentral:Y_RNA from 1 species
GGCUGGUCCGAUGGUAGUAGGUUAUCAGAACUUAUUAACAUUAGUGUCACUAAAGUUGGUAUACAACCCCCAGUGGCUAAAUUUGACUGGCUUUAA